UACGAAGGGGGCUAGCGUUGUUCGGAAUUACUGGGCGUAAAGCGCACGUAGGCGGACUGUUAAGUCAGGGGUGAAAUCCUGGAGCUCAACUCCAGAACUGCCUUUGAUACUGAUGGUCUCGAGUCCGGAAGAGGGUGAGUGGAAUUCCGAGUGUAGAGGUGAAAUUCGUAGAUAUUCGGAGGAACACCAGUGGCGAAGGCGGCUCACUGGUCCGGUACUGACGCUGAGGUGCGAAAGCGUGGGGAGCAAACAGG
rnacentral:rRNA from 1 species